rnacentral:rRNA from 1 species
GACGAACGCUGGCGGCGUGCCUAAUACAUGCAAGUCGAGCGAAGUUUUUCUGGUGCUUGCACUAGAAAAACUUAGCGGCGAACGGGUGAGUAACACGUAAAGAACCUGCCUCAUAGACUGGGACAACUAUUGGAAACGAUAGCUAAUACCGGAUAACAGUAUUUCUCGCAUGAGAGAUAUUUAAAAGUUGGUUAUGCUAACACUAUGAGAUGGCUUUGCGGUGCAUUAGCUAGUUGGUGGGGUAAAGGCCCACCAAGGCGACGAUGCAUAGCCGACCUGAGAGGGUGAUCGGCCACACUGGGACUGAGACACGGCCCAGACUUCUACGGGAGGCAGCAGUAGGGAAUCUUCCGCAAUGGGCGAAAGCCUGACGGAGCAACGCCGCGUGAGUGAAGAAGGAUUUCGGUUCGUAAAGCUCUGUUGUUAGGGAAGAAUGGAUAUGUAGUAACUAUACAUGUAAGAGACGGUACCUAACCAGAAAGCCACGGCUAACUACGUG